GGGCUCCGCGGCCGCUGACAGCUCGUCGGGCGGGGUCCGCGCGCGCGGCACCGGGGUCUCCGCGGCACACGCCGGGCCAGGUGUGGCCGAGAGACCGCGCUGCGGCCGGGAAGUUCUGUCCCGGGGGCCUUGGCCGCUUUUGCAAGGUCUUUCAGAAAGACCCCCGGGGUAUCCUCACGCCCAGUUCUCGUUGGAGAGCGUCUCCCACGUCUCAGGGAGCUCAAAACUGAGCAGCUCAAGGCUGAUUUCUUCAUCAUUUUCCUGCCAAGUAGGGGCUGCAUUAGCCAUCAUUCCUGCAAUUCCUGCAAAUAAUGUUCAGUCUUCAGGCUUACUGCAUCACUGACUGUAUUUGGAUAUUGAAAAUGUAGGAAUACUCAAAUAUCAGAAGGCUGAUCAGGUGAGAUCCUGUUUGAUUUGUUAAUUCUCUGAACUAGACGUAGGUUAGGUUUUGAAGAGAUCCGUGUCUUUGAAAAAUGAAGUACGGACUGUGCCUUGUUCAGUCUUUUUUAAUUAACCACUUAAAAAUUCUCCACUGUGUUUGGUUUAGUUGUCAGUUAAUACUUGCUUUCAGAGUAUUUGCUUUCUGAAUUGGCAGGCUCUAAGUAAGGACAAAGUAUUAAGUCUCAGCUGUCUGUUUACUGACUUAGACUUGAACCUUAAGAAGACACUCUGGUGCCAAUGGCAGCGAGUGUGGCCAGGUUUCACUACAAUGUCUUUGAAAUAUUUCGGAGUUUCAGGCAAGCCAAUAUUAUGAAAGCCUUUUUUGGUAUUGUUUGCAUACACGGAAAAUGGAGUUGUCGGGAGCCUUUUGACGAGCACAGAUGUAUUAGGCUCUUGGAAUAACCCCUAACAUCCCUUCCUUAGCCCUUCCCAAGACCGGUCUGAAUACCUGGUACCAUGAACUUCCAGAGACUUCACACCCGACACAUGUAUUCUUCAUCGGCAUGAGUUUCUGAGCAUGGCUUACUUAACACUUUGGAAGCUGGACUUUUAACCCAUGGUAGCAGAAAGUCUAUCUGAGAGACACUUCCAGCUUUAGCUGUGGGGGUAGUCCUCCUUGUCCCCCUAAUUCCAUCAGUCUUGUUGUGAGGGGAGAUAGACGGUGGAAACCCGUGGGGAUCAAGACUUAGGUAAGAAUCCCAGGAAUAUUUCAACAGGGGUCACCAGCCAGCAUUGUACCCUGUGGACCCCUUAUUUUUUCCCCCAGGUGUCUGUCCCUUCUCUGCCAGUCAUACAGCUCUUGCCCUGCUGGUGUCCACCCUCUGAGUCUGAUGCCCCUUUGUUUGGAGCCACUCUCUGGAGAUUAGCACACUUACAGCCAUUCUUAAACAGCCAGGCUGCGAAGUGGCUUCUGCUUCACCUGGCUUUUCUAGCAUCGCCCUUUUCUGCUGCUCUGUAACCUUUCCCUGUGUCUCCUCUAGAACUUAGAGAACUGUUCCCCAGGGGCUGGUCUGGGCCCCCAGAGGGCCUUUGAGCGGCACCACCUGGUGUCAUGUGGGAAGCGUUUCUCCCUGAAUCAAAUGUCUUCGAUGUCUUGCUGCUUGCCCUUAAGGUGUUCCUCAUCCAUGGAAAAAAAUGGUUCUUGAGUGUGGUUGACACACAAGGUUGCAUUCAUUUCAGGUGGACGGCAUAGUGAUUCAACAUCUCUAUAGGUUAUGCUGUGCUGGCCGCAAGUAUAGCUGCUGUCUGUCACCAUAUCCUUUUUUGUUUUGUUUUGUGUUUUUGUUUUGUUUUUUAAUUCUGAUUCUGCCUCUGAUCCUCUAGUCCUCCUCCCCAGUGGAGGGCAAUCUUUGUUUUGGCCUUUGGAAAGGCACAAUCUUAAUGUCCUGGUGGCCCAACCAUCAGUUAGUCCCAAAAUUCCUUUUUAUUAUUUCCCAAGGAAUUUAGAGCUCUUAAUAAUGUUUGUGGCCUGUCCUAACAGCCUAGGAUUUCCUGAAUGAAUACACAGACGAGGUGCUUAUCCACACUCUCCCCGUCCAAGUAAAAUAAUUCCAAACCUAGUGUUUGAGGUUAUAUUUUUGCUUUAUACCUGUCGUGGUUCACUUCUAUCUUUAGAAAUAUAUACGAAUAUUAGUUUGUGUAUGAGCAGUUAUUUGUACCACGUACAGGUAUCUACAUCAAGUGUAAGCUUUCUUUUUUUUUUUUUUUUCCCUCUUUCAAACUCUUCGAAUCACUUGAUUUUCUGAUGCCUUCAUUGACUUGUACAUGGCGUGGCAGUGGGUUGAAACUUUCUUUGGUCCUAGACUUCUACCUUAAUGUAGUGUGCAAGGGAUAUGCCACUCACCAUACCUGUUCUCUGUCUCUCUCUCAAACGUGCAUCGUAUGUUCCCCCUAUUGCCUUAUUGGUCACUGUUCUUAGACUCCGGUAUAGUGUGGAGCUGCAGAUUCAUCUCUUUUGUCUUUUUUCCUACUCUU